GGAAGGGAUGCCAUUCAGAGGGACCUCGACAGGCUGGAAAGACCUCCUCAGACCCAUGCUGCGCCAGAGAAUAUGGGGUGUGAAGAGCAGAGAAGACAAAUGAACAGAGCAGGACUUUACACAGGGACCAGGCUGAGCCCUGUGUCCUUCUGUAAUCCAAAGUUGGGAGAAAAAGCACUCUGCACCUGAGGACUCUUCUGGAGAGAAGGGCCACAUAACUUCCCAGCAGAGGCAGCUGGAACCAAGAAGCUUUGGCCUAUAAAAGGAAGCAGGCCCACAGAGGAGGAUAUCAGCAGACAGAAGAGCUUUCAGACAGGUUAGUGGAAGCAGUGGAAGAGCUGGGCUUAACACUGGAACAAGAUCUGCCUAGGAAGA